rfam:Rahnella aquatilis CIP 78.65 = ATCC 33071, complete genome.
AGGGCUCUGGAAUGAAUAUCAGAAUCAGUGAAAACAGGCAGAUCGUAAAGACGCCGUAAAAUCAUCCCUGAUGGCUCGAACCGCGCCAUCCAUGGCGCGGACGCUUU